rnacentral:rRNA from 1 species
AAGGCCCAGACAGCCAGGAUGUUGGCUUAGAAGCAGCCAUCAUUUAAAGAAAGCGUAAUAGCUCACUGGUCGAGUCGGCCUGCGCGGAAGAUGUAACGGGGCUAAACCAUGCACCGAAGCUGCGGCAGCGACGCUUAUGCGUUGUUGGGUAGGGGAGCGUUCUGUAAGCCUGCGAAGGUGUACUGUGAGGUAUGCUGGAGGUAUCAGAAGUGCGAAUGCUGACAUAAGUAACGAUAAAGCGGGUGAAAAGCCCGCUCGCCGGAAGACCAAGGGUUCCUGUCCAACGUUAAUCGGGGCAGGGUGAGUCGACCCCUAAGGCGAGGCCGAAAGGCGUAGUCGAUGGGAAACAGGUUAAUAUUCCUGUACUUGGUGUUACUGCGAAGGGGGGACGGAGAAGGCUAUGUUGGCCGGGCGACGGUUGUCCCGGUUUAAGCGUGUAGGCUGGUUUUCCAGGCAAAUCCGGAAAAUCAAGGCUGAGGCGUGAUGACGAGGCACUACGGUGCUGAAGCAACAAAUGCCCUGCUUCCAGGAAAAGCCUCUAAGCAUCAGGUAACAUCAAAUCGUACCCCAAACCGACACAGGUGGUCAGGUAGAGAAUACCAAGGCGCUUGAGAGAACUCGGGUGAAGGAACUAGGCAAAAUGGUGCCGUAACUUCGGGAGAAGGCACGCUGAUAUGUAGGUGAAGUCCCUCGCGGAUGGAGCUGAAAUCAGUCGAAGAUACCAGCUGGCUGCAACUGUUUAUUAAAAACACAGCACUGUGCAAACACGAAAGUGGACGUAUACGGUGUGACGCCUGCCCGGUGCCGGAAGGUUAAUUGAUGGGGUUAGCGCAAGCGAAGCUCUUGAUCGAAGCCCCGGUAAACGGCGGCCGUAACUAUAACGGUCCUAAGGUAGCGAAAUUCCUUGUCGGGUAAGUUCCGACCUGCACGAAUGGCGUAAUGAUGGCCAGGCUGUCUCCACCCGAGACUCAGUGAAAUUGAACUCGCUGUGAAGAUGCAGUGUACCCGCGGCAAGACGGAAAGACCCCGUGAACCUUUACUAUAGCUUGACACUGAACAUUGAGCCUUGAUGUGUAGGAUAGGUGGGAGGCUUAGAAGUGUGGACGCCAGUCUGCAUGGAGCCGACCUUGAAAUACCACCCUUUAAUGUUUGAUGUUCUAACGUUGACCCGUAAUCCGGGUUGCGGACAGUGUCUGGUGGGUAGUUUGACUGGGGCGGUCUCCUCCUAAAGAGUAACGGAGGAGCACGAAGGUUGGCUAAUCCUGGUCGGACAUCAGGAGGUUAGUGCAAUGGCAUAAGCCAGCUUGACUGCGAGCGUGACGGCGCGAGCAGGUGCGAAAGCAGGUCAUAGUGAUCCGGUGGUUCUGAAUGGAAGGGCCAUCGCUCAACGGAUAAAAGGUACUCCGGGGAUAACAGGCUGAUACCGCCCAAGAGUUCAUAUCGACGGCGGUGUUUGGCACCUCGAUGUCGGCUCAUCACAUCCUGGGGCUGAAGUAGGUCCCAAGGGUAUGGCUGUUCGCCAUUUAAAGUGGUACGCGAGCUGGGUUUAGAACGUCGUGAGACAGUUCGGUCCCUAUCUGCCGUGGGCGCUGGAGAACUGAGGGGGGCUGCUCCUAGUACGAGAGGACCGGAGUGGACGCAUCACUGGUGUUCGGGUUGUCAUGCCAAUGGCACUGCCCGGUAGCUAAAUGCGGAAGAGAUAAGUGCUGAAAGCAUCUAAGCACGAAACUUGCCCCGAGAUGAGUUCUCCCUGACUCCUUGAGAGUCCUGAAGGAACGUUGAAGACGACGACGUUGAUAGGCCGGGUGUGUAAGCGCAGCGAUGCGUUGAGCUAACCGGUACUAAUGAACCGUGAGG